AUACGUAGGGCGCGAGCGUUGUCCGGAAUUAUUGGGCGUAAAGAGCUCGUAGGCGGUUUGUCGCGUCUGCCGUGAAAGCCCGUGGCUUAACUGCGGGUCUGCGGUGGAUACGGGCAGGCUAGAGGCUGGUAGGGGCAAGCGGAAUUCCUGGUGUAGCGGUGAAAUGCGCAGAUAUCAGGAGGAACACCGGUGGCGAAGGCGGCUUGCUGGGCCAGUUCUGACGCUGAGGAGCGAAAGCGUGGGGAGCGAACAGGAUUAGAUACCCUGGUAGUCCACGCUGUAAACGUUGGGCGCUAGGUGUGGGGGCUUUCCAUGGUUCCUGUGCCGUAGCUAACGCAUUAAGCGCCCCGCCUGGGGAGUACGGCCGCAAGGCUAAA
rnacentral:rRNA from 1 species